UCAUGUUUCUGUUGGUGUGGAAAGAGCAAAUAUCUUACUGGCAUUUUUAACAUGUGCUUUGCACACCAGCAGAAGAAUAUUUUAGAGAAAAAUUGUUACUUGAAAUUUUGAAAAAUGAUACAAGUAGUUAUGGGAACAAUUUAUCUCUAGAUAAUUCCACAUACCAAAUUCUUAAUUAUUUUCAGUUAUGUAUGUAUGGGAGUGAAGGUGGAAGUGAGGUUUGGGAAUGAGACCUUUUAGGUUUCCAAAAAUAUUAACUAUUCCCUGAUUUCCAUUUGUGGAUUUACAGAUUUCCAUUUAGUUUAGUUCACAGUCAUACUUCUCACUUUACCUAUUAGAUUUUCAGUAUUGGUUUACUCCCUCUACCCCAUGAACAAAAUAAAUCCUUCUGUUACUUUAUUCACUGAUUCCAUGUUCUAUGAUACUGUAUUUCCAUAUGUUAGUAUUUACAGAUGGCUUUGUUGAGUACCAGCAUUCAGGGCAGUUUGAUAUAGUUGGGUUGUCUAGCAUAGACCUGACGUGGCCCUGUGGCUGAAGCAGACAUACAGAAUGACCUGACACACAACUUAUGGAUAUUCUUACAGAGAAGCAAGUCCUUUAGGGGUGCACGCUGUGCCCCUUAGUAUAGGGGCUGGGCUUGUUAUUUAAAUCUUGGUAUGCAAUAGCCCACACAGCAAUUAUUCUUCUAAAAGUAUUGAUUAUUUAAUUUGAUUCUUGUAUUUCUGAGAAAGACUGACGAAUAUUUAUAUUUUCUGUAAAAUUUUUUUUCGUUGUAGUUUUAAUGGGGAAAAUACCUUAAAUAAUUCAAUUUGAGAUAUACAAAAAAUUAAGUGAAUAGGAACAGAGCUUGAAAGGAAAGUGGAGAGCUACUAUAUUGGGUCUUUGUUCUCUUAGAAGUUGACAGACUGCUUAUGUGUGUGAGAGAGGAAUGUGUUAGGGUCCCAUGGUGCCUAUUAAGGCUUUCAAAGUAACAACCUAUCUUCAAUGGGCACUGAGUGCUUGGAGUGGAUAGAUGGCUAAUGCUUAGAUUCAAAUGCUACUCCUGCCUGAAGGCCCUAUUUUUUGAAAUACUGAGAUAGCUUGUAAAUUCACUGAAUGCAAGGAAACAAAAGUGACUGUUAUUCGCCAAUUAAAUUUUUUCCUCCCAGUGCAGAAAUCAAUCCUGUACUUUAGUCAGUGGGGGAGAUAAAACUCUAGGACAGCCACCAGCUGUGGUGGCAGAAGGGAAGGCAAUGAGAGUUUAGAUGCAGGGGCCACGCUUGGCUAAAACAGGAGAGGAAAAUCGACUCAAAUUGGUAUUGGGUGUUCACUCAAGGACAUGUAUCCUAUGUCCUUGUCAUAAGCUGAUAGAAUCAAAAUAGACCUUAUGGGGCAAAGGGCUGACUUGAAAAAUCAUUUCAAGCAGGUUGGUUGCCUCCUAGAGAUGUGAAAGAGCAUUCUGUGGUCACAUCCCAAGGGUGGACAGAAUGCCAAACUCAGUUCCUACAUUGCUUGCAGUGACUAUUACAGAAAAGUCCAGGAGAUGAUUGUUGGAGUAAUGAAACAGGCAUUUUAUGGGUGAAUGGGGACCGGGUGACUGGGAGCACUGUGAACUAAAUUCAAAGUGCAUUACAACGAAUAGUCAAGGCAGUGAAUGUAACUGAGUGAGAUUAAAUUGGAAAACUUUCAGGAGCAAUGACUAAGACAUCACAUUGCCCACAGUGCUAGAAGAGAACACAAAUGUAAGUUAAUUGAGCAAAUGUAGGCCAGAACACCUUUGAUCAGAAUGUCUAUAUUUCAAAAAUGGUAUUUAUGGACAAUUACAUCUUUUAUGGGUACUUAUCAGUGGUGGCAGUAGAAAGAAUUCUUUCCCUGUUCAUUAGUUUAAAAAGCAAACCAGGAGUUUUGUAAUAGUGAAUUGAUUCUAGAAUUGCUCCCACAUCCAGCUCCCCUUUUCUCAUGGAUCACUGCCUUAGGGAAACAGGAACUAUAAUUUAUCCCUGCUGUGGAAUGUGGUGGCUCUAGGUCCUUCACCAUAACUGAGCAAUCUCUGAUGGUCUUGUCAUAGUCUCAGUUUGCUUUCCCAUGGAUUGGUAGGUCUUUCUGGGUCAGCAAUAGAAAAAAAGCAAUCCCAGAAAUUCCUCCUUUGAAAAUGGUAUUCUUAGGAUAAUCCAAUGUUUUCACUAUUUUACAUCAAAGGCCAUUGCAAGAAUAGCUCACAGGAUUGCAGCCUUGAAGAAGCAUAGGGCUAAAGCUUCAGAGGCCCCCAGCUUACCUUGUGUUCUUUUUUGUAAGUCUCUGAAUAAGCCAUACACAGGGAACAUCACAGUGGUAACUGUAGCUUAGUGAUCACAAUUUCCUACUUUGUAUUUUUGAAAAGUUUUACUUCUCAAAGGACAUAGAUCAGUAAGCCCUUUAGAUCAGACUUGGACAGAGUUUUUGAAACUUCGCUUAACCACAGAAAUUUAAAGUUGUCUGUGACUGUGGCAUGCAUUAUCCCAAAAUGAAUUAUUUCACAUGUUGUGUUUUGGAGGGGAAAAAUAAUUUUCUCUCUACCCUUUUAGGUUCUUGGCUGAGACACCCACCUCCCAUAAUAAAAGACAAAUUAACAAGAUAAAAAUAAACAAAUGUUUAAUAACAUGUAUACCUUCUUAUAGAAAUGGCCCAUGUUACCACUGUAAAUAUCAUCUCUAGCUAAAAACAGAAGAUGUGGGGUGCCGGGGGAUAGGCAGUAGAAACUGGAAGCCAGUUAUGAGCGAUUACUGGAGAAAGCAUAAUACACAAGAUUAUGGGGUUAUUUAUACAGAUUGAAGUUGCUUUCUCCAUUGAAGUUUCUAGAGAUUUAUUCAUUCUCCUCUUCCUGGUAAGGAGAGGUAGGAACCAUUAUAGCUAGAGAUUUUCCUUAUAAAUGCAACUUUUUUUUUACAAAAGGGUAUCCUCUCUUAUCAAAUUCAGGUUUAGCUGAUAGGGAUGGUGCAGUAAAAAGAAAAAUGGAUGUCCGUGAGUACGUGAUAAAGAAUAAGGAGCUCAGAGUUUCUGUUCUGGCUCAGUAUGUUAAGGGCCCAGUGUUGUCUCUGUAAGGAUGCAGAGGAUCCUUGGCCUCACUCAGUAGGUUAUGGAUCUGGCUUUGCUGCAAGUUGUGGUGCAGGUUGCAGAUGUGGCUUGGAUCCUGUGCUGCUGUGGUUGUGGUGUAGGCCCAGCUGCAGCUCUGAUUCGACUGCUGGUCCAGGAACUUCCAUAUGCUACAGGUAUAGCU
rnacentral:lncRNA from 1 species